AUGUGUGCAGGGUUCCCAAGCCCACCAUCCGGGUGCCACUUGGUUCGUUUAUUAGGAAAGAAUCAAUAUACUUUUAAUGUCGAAUCGGGAUUCACUAAGACAGAAAUAAAGCAUUGGGUCGAACUCUUCUUUGGUGUUAAGGUGGUAGCUGUGAAUAGCCAUCGACUACCUGGAAAAGGUAGAAGAAUAGGACCUAUUCUGGGCCAUACAAUGUAUUACAGACGUAUGAUCAUUACCCUUCAACUGGGUUAUUCUAUUCCACUUCUAGAUAGAGAAAAAAACUAA
rnacentral:rRNA from 1 species